GCCCUGGCAGUCAGAGGCGAUGAAGGACGUGCUAAUCUGCGAAAAGCGCCGGUAAGGUGAUAUGAACCGUUAUAACCGGCGAUGUCCGAAUGGGGAAACCCAGUGUGACUCGUCACACUAUCAUUAACUGAAUCCAUAGGUUAAUGAGGCGAACCGGGGGAACUGAAACAUCUAAGUACCCCGAGGAAAAGAAAUCAACCGAGAUUCCCCCAGUAGCGGCGAGCGAACGGGGAGGAGCCCAGAGCCUGAAUCAGCAUGUGUGUUA
rnacentral:rRNA from 1 species